rnacentral:rRNA from 1 species
AGCAGCCGCGGUAAUUCCAGCUCCAAUAGCGUAUAUUAAAGUUGUUGCAGUUAAAAAGCUCGUAGUUGAAUUUCGGGGUUAGUAGGUUGGUCAUGCCUCUGGUAUGUACUGGUCUCACUGAUUCCUCCUUCCUGAUGAGCCGUAAUGCCAUUAAUUUGGUGUUGCGGGGAAUUUGGACUGUUACUUUGAAAAAAUUAGAGUGUUUAAAGCAAGCUAACGCUUGAAUACAUUAGCAUGGAAUAACGGAAUAGGACGUUUGAUUCUAUUUUGUUGGUUUCUAGGAUCGACGUAAUGAUUAAUAGGGAUAGUUGGGGGCAUUAGUAUUCAAUUGUCAGAGGUGAAAUUCUUGGAUUUAUUGAAGACUAACUAACUGCGAAAGCAUUUGCCUAAGGAUGUUUUCAUUAAUCAAGAACGAAAGUUAGGGGAUCGAAGACGAUCAGAUACCGUCGUAGUCUUAACCAUAAACUAUGCCGACUAGGGAUCGGAUGAUGUUAAUUUUUAAUGACUCAUUCGGCGCCUU